rnacentral:rRNA from 1 species
UACAGAGGUCUCAAGCGUUGUUCGGAUUCAUUGGGCGUAAAGGGUGUGUAGGUGGCGCGCUAAGUCGGGUGUGAAAUUUCGGAGCUUAACUCCGAAACUGCAUUCGAUACUGGCGUGCUUGAGGACUGGAGAGGAGACUGGAAUUCAUGGUGUAGCAGUGAAAUGCGUAGAGAUCAUGAGGAAGACCAGUGGCGAAGGCGGGUCUCUGGACAGUUCCUGACACUGAGGCACGAAAGCCAGGGGAGCAAACAGG